GCUGGGCAUGGUGGCGGGCGCCUGUAAUCCCAGCUACUCAGGAGGCUGAGGCAGGAGAAUCACUUGAACCCAGGAGGCUGAGGUUGCAGUGAGCUGAGAUCGCACCACUGCACUCCAGCCUGGGCAACACAGCCAGUUCCUGUCUCUU
rfam:Pan troglodytes isolate Yerkes chimp pedigree #C0471 (Clint) chromosome 10, whole genome shotgun sequence.